GAAAUGCGAUAAGUAAUGUGAAUUGCAGAAUUCAGUGAAUCAUCGAAUCUUUGAACGCACAUUGCGCCCCUUGGUAUUCCGAGGGGCAUGCCUGUUUGAGCGUCAUUACACCACUCAAGCUAUGCUUGGUAUUGGGUGCCGUCCUUAGUUGGGCGCGCCUUAAAGACCUCGGCGAGGCCUCACCGGCUUUAGGCGUAGUAGAAUUUAUUCGAACGUCUGUCAAAGGAGAGGACUUCUGCCGACUGAAACCUUUUAUUUUUCUAGGUUGACCUCGGAUCAGGUAGGGAUACCCGCUGAACUUAAGC
rnacentral:misc_RNA from 1 species